rnacentral:lncRNA from 1 species
GCAGCUUUGGAGCAGCAGGGCCGGGUUUUGGCUGCAGGAUGGAUCCACGAUGGGAUGGGGCCGGGAUAUGACAGCACACGGAUCCCCAUCAGACUGCACAGGGAUGCUCUCCCAGCGCCGCGAUGCCGUGCGAUGACCAAACCUCAACCAGAGAUGAUGAGAAAUACAUCCGAACACACAUCUCUUAUUGCCAACGGAUUCACUGCUCCCUCCCAAAAGCAAGCGCUGAACUUCGGGAGAUGGAAAUAUUUCCCUUAUGAGUGACACCAUGUGUCAUUAUCACAGAAUCGUGGAAUCAUAGGAUCAUAGAAUGGCCUCAGUGGAAAAGGACCACAAUGACCAUCAGUUCCAACCCCCUGCUAUGUGCAGGGUCGCCAACCUCCAGCCCGGGCUGCCCAGAGCCACAUCCAGCCUGGCCUUGAAUGCCUGCAGGGGCCCAACAUGCAAAAGAAGAAAGGCAAAACCAAAGCAAAGCAGAGCCGGUUUGUUCCCAGCUCCCA